rnacentral:rRNA from 1 species
CCUACGGGUGGCAGCAGUCGAGAAUCAUUCACAAUGGGGGAAACCCUGAUGGUGCGACGCCGCGUGGGGGAAUGAAGUUCUUCGGAUUGUAAACCCCUGUCAUGUGGAAGCAAAUUACAAAGAUCGUACCACAAGAGGCAGAGACGGCUAACUCUGUGCCAGCAGCCGCGGUAAUACAGAGGUCUCAAGCGUUGUUCGGAAUCACUGGGCGUAAAGCGUGCGUAGGCUGUUUCGUAAGUCGUGUGUGAAAGGCGCGGGCUCAACCCGCGGACGGCACAUGAUACUGCGAGACUAGAGUAAGGGAGGGGGAACCGGAAUUCUCGGUGUAGCAGUGAAAUGCGUAGAUAUCGAGAGGAACACUCGUGGCGAAGGCGGGUUCCUGGACAUUAACUGACGCUGAGGCACGAAGGCCAGGGGAGCGAAAGGGAUUAGAUACCCGGGUAGUC